UUUUCUUGGAUGUGAGGUACAGGACAGAGAGAAAGGAGAAAACAUUAUCAGCAACAUACUGGAAGUCCUCUACUUGGAAAUUAUUCUCAUAAAGACCUGAUGUUCCUGAUCAGACAAUGCAAAGAAAAUUAGCAGAAAUAUCACAAAAGAGCUUCCUCAUCAUUAAAGAUCACAUUUCAAAAAGCCUGAAACCUGUUAUAGUCUUCAUAGUUGCAGAGGGAAGUGGCCUUGGCAUAAGGUAAAAUAAG